GUCCGAGUGCUGGAAUUGGUAGACAGUCUUAAUUUAAGCUUAAGUGACGCAAGUCGUAGAGGUUCAAGUCCUCUUUCGGAUA
rnacentral:tRNA from 1 species